UAGGUAUGCAAAGCGAACGCGGCGAACUGAAACAUCUAAGUAGCUGCAGGAAAAGAAAUCAACCGAGAUUCCCAAAGUAGUGGCGAGCGAAAUGGGAACAGCCGCAAGUUUUAGCAGUGGACAUAGUAGAACGACUUGGAAACGUCGGCCAUAGAGGGUGAUAGCCCCUUAUACGAAAUGAUCAUUGUGGAACUAAGCUUGCAACAAGUAGGGCGGGACACGUGUAAUCCUGUCUGAACAUGGGGGGACCAUCCUCCAAGGCUAAAUACUCGAUAUCGACCGAUAGUGAACCAGUACCGUGAGGGAAAGGCGAAAAGAACCCCGGAAGGGGAGUGAAAUAGAUCCUGAAACCGUGUGCAUACAAACAGUAGGAGCGGACUUGUUCCGUGACUGCGUACCUUUUGUAUAAUGGGUCAGCGACUUACAUUCAGUGGCAAGCUUAACCGUAUAGGGAAGGCGUAGAGAAAUCGAGUCCGAAUAGGGCGUUCAGUCGCUGGGUGUAGACCCGAAACCAAGUGAUCUACUCAUGGCCAGGAUGAAGGUGCGGUAACACGCACUGGAGGUCCGAACCCACUAAUGUUGAAAAAUUAGGGGAUGAGCUGUGGGUAGGGGUGAAAGGCUAAACAAACUUGGAAAUAGCUGGUUCUCUCCGAAAACUAUUUAGGUAGUGCCUCAAGUAUCACCAUCGGGGGUAGAGCACUGUUAUGGCUAGGGGGUCAUCGAGACUUACCAAACCAUUGCAAACUCCGAAUACCGAUGAGUGCGAGCUUGGGAGACAGACGCCGGGUGCUAACGUCCGACGUCAAGAGGGAAACAACCCAGACCGCCAGCUAAGGUCCCAAAGAUUGGCUAAGUGGCAAACGAAGUGGGAAGGCUAAAACAGUCAGGAGGUUGGCUUAGAAGCAGCCAUCCUUUAAAGAAAGCGUAAUAGCUCACUGAUCGAGUCGUCCUGCGCGGAAGAUGUAACGGGGCUAAGCCAGUCACCGAAGCUGCGGAUAUCAAUUUAUUGAUAUGGUAGGAGAGCGUUCUGUAAGCCUGCGAAGGUGUCUUGUAAAGGAUGCUGGAGGUAUCAGAAGUGCGAAUGCUGACAUGAGUAGCGAUAAUGGGGGUGAAAAGCCCCCACGCCGUAAGCCCAAGGUUUCCUGUUCAACGUUCAUCGGAGCAGGGUGAGUCGGCCCCUAAGGCGAGGCAGAGAUGCGUAGCUGAUGGGAAGCAGGUUAAUAUUCCUGCACCGUCGUUAGAUGCGAUGGGGGGACGGAUCGCGGAAGGUUGUCCGGGUGUUGGAAGUCCCGGUUCCUAUAUCAGAGAAGGCUGUUAGGCAAAUCCGGCAGCGUAAUUCAAGGGUAUGGGACGAGCCAAUUUAUUGGUGAAGCAAUCGGAAGUGGUUCCAAGAAAAGCCUCUAAGCUUCAGUCUAACGAGACCGUACCGCAAACCGACACAGGUGGGCGAGAUGAGUAUUCUAAGGCGCUUGAGAGAACUCGGGAGAAGGAACUCGGCAAAUUUGUACCGUAACUUCGGGAUAAGGUACGCCCAUGUAGUUUGACUGGCCUGCGCCAGAAGGACGAAAGGGCUGCAAUAAAAAGGUGGCUGCGACUGUUUAAUAAAAACACAGCACUCUGCAAACACGAAAGUGGACGUAUAGGGUGUGACGCCUGCCCGGUGCUGGAAGAUUAAAUGAUGGGGUGCAAGCUCUUGAUUGAAGUCCCAGUAAACGGCGGCCGUAACUAUAACGGUCCUAAGGUAGCGAAAUUCCUUGUCGGGUAAGUUCCGACCUGCACGAAUGGCGUAACGAUGGCCACACUGUCUCCUCCCGAGACUCAGCGAAAGUUGAAAUGUUUGUGAUGAUGCAAUCUACCCGCGGCUAGACGGAAAGACCCCAUGAACCUUUACUGUAGCUUUGCAUUGGACUUUGAACCAAUCUGUGUAGGAUAGGUGGGAGGCUUUGAAGCGGGGACGCUAGUUCUCGUGGAGCCAACCUUGAAAUACCACCCUGGUUUGUUUGAGGUUCUAACCUUGGUCCGUUAUCCGGAUCGGGGACAGUGCAUGGUAGGCAGUUUGACUGGGGCGGUCUCCUCCCAAAGUGUAACGGAGGAGUUCGAAGGUACGCUAGGUACGGUCGGACAUCGUGCUAAUAGUGCAAUGGCAUAAGCGUGCUUAACUGCGAGACUGACAAGUCGAGCAGGUACGAAAGUAGGACAUAGUGAUCCGGUGGUUCUGUAUGGAAGGGCCAUCGCUCAACGGAUAAAAGGUACUCUGGGGAUAACAGGCUGAUUCCUCCCAAGAGUUCAUAUCGACGGGGGAGUUUGGCACCUCGAUGUCGGCUCAUCACAUCCUGGGGCUGUAGCCGGUCCCAAGGGUAUGGCUGUUCGCCAUUUAAAGUGGUACGUGAGCUGGGUUUAAAACGUCGUGAGACAGUUUGGUCCCUAUCUGCCGUGG
rnacentral:rRNA from 1 species